rnacentral:rRNA from 1 species
UUGUUGCGGUUAAAACGUUCGUAGUUGAAUUUGUGUCCCACACGGGUAAUUGGCCCACUUACGGGUUCUUAUUACUUGCCGGCUUGCUGGCUUUAGUGUGCGGACGUUUUACCGGUGAGGGAAACGGUGUAGUUUCGGCUGCAAUACGCCCCUUAUUUAUUUCAUAAACCCGUCUUGGUGCUUUUAAUCGAGUGCCAAUGUGGGCCGGUACUAUUACUUUGAACAAAUUAGAGUGCUUAAAGCAGGCUAAAUUUAAUGAAAGUUAAAACGCCUGAAUAUAUUUUGCAUGGAAUAAUGGAAUAGGACCUCUGUUCUACUUUCAUUGGUUUUUAGACCAAGAGGUAAUGAUUAAUAGAAGCAGUUGGGGGCAUUAGUAUUACGAGGCGAGAGGUGAAAUUCGUAGACCCUCGUAAGACUAACUUAAGCGAAAGCAUUUGCCAAGGAUGUUUUCAUUAAUCAAGAACGAAAGUUAGAGGAUCGAAGGCGAUCAGAUACCGCCCUAGUUCUAACCAUAAACGAUGCCAGCUAGCAAUUGUAUGUAGCUACUAAUUUUGGUUCAUACAGUCGCUUUCCGGGAAACCAAAGCUUUUGGGCUCCGGGGGAAGUAUGGUUGCAAAGCUGAAACUUA